CUGUGCCAGUGUGUCAGACACCAGAGGGAGAGAGAUGUAAAAUUAGGUCAGCGGCUCUGUAAACUGAUUAAAGCUCAUGCUUCACGCUUCCAAGGAAAACAGCCAAUACAAAAGGGAAUGAUCCCUGGCUCAAGAUGAGAAGGAAGGAGAGCUCUCUAUGUUCGUAGUCCAGCCAUAUAGGAUGCUUGGCCAAAAUGAAGGUAUAGAAAAGGAACAACCAAAGAAAGAACAGGACAUACUGGAUCUUUCUGGGUAUCAUCAAACUUCUCCAUCCAAGAAUAAGGGACAGCAGCAUCUCUUUGACAUCCAUAGCCCAUUUCUGCUUUGCCAAUAUCACUUGUGCAUCUGGGGCCACCAAUGCAUCCUAUCCUAGCAAGUAUCAAUGGGAAUAAAGAAGAAACUUAGAAAACGACAAAAUUCAAGAAGAGCUGAAGCUCUGGAGCUAGCUUUGGUGGAGAAAGAAUGAUGCGGGAUGUUGGACUAAGCGAGAAAUGCAUAAGAAGCUGCUGAGUUUAACACAAAGCCAUAUAGAGGUCAUUUCUAUAGAGCACAAUAAAUACCAUUAUGUGUUAGACGGAUGGAUGGAUCACUUUUCUCCCCUUGCAAGGACCCUGGUCUAACCCCAGAUAUCAUCUCUUGGACUCUGCUAGCAGCCAUGGAAAUAGUACCCUGCUUCCAUCCCCGCCUCUUCUCAUUCCAUUUUUCAAGUAUAGACACAGCUUAAGGGACAAACAAGAUUCAAAACAUGAGAUUUCCAAAAGUAAAUUUUCAAGGUACUCCUAUGGGAAAGCGCCGUUGAGAAUAUCCUUCUCAGGUUUAGCACAGUCCCUCAAGGUAAGCACCUUCAACCCUGCUUCGACUGCAAAGAGUUCUUUAAGAAGGUAUGACUGAGAGGUCUCCGCUUUUCCUUCUUCCUAUUAAAAAUGGCUCUUAGAUGCUUUUAUUCUUAGUGAGGCCAUCCUAUUGUAGCACCAAUAUAGUUAUAUAAGCGCAUCGUUUCAUGCUCUAUUCACCUUCUGAAUCUUUUAACCCCACCUCCCUCAGCUGAGAAAAGAAAUACUAUGGGUUUAAAUCUAUCCUCUAUCAGCUGCAGCACGAUAAUUCUUACCCUAGGGCCCCAAACCCUCAUUUCAGACGGACUAAUCCAAACCUCUUUUGGAGG
rnacentral:lncRNA from 1 species